UAAAGUGGUUACAGCCUUAGUGUUCACAGUAAAACUGUAACUUAAAGCAGGUACAGCCUCAGUGUUCACAGUAAAACUGUAACUUAAAGUGGUUACAGCCUUAGUGUUCACAGUAAAACUGUAACUUAAAGCAGGUACAGCCUCAGUGUUCACAGUAAAACUGUAACUUAAAGCGGAUACAGCCUCAGUGUUCACAGUAAAACUGUAACUUAAAGCGGGUACAGCCUCAGUGUUCACAGUAAAACUGUAACUUAAAGCAGGUACAGCCUCAGUGUUCACAGUAAAACUGUAACUUAAAGCAGGUACAGCCUCAGUGUUCACAGUAAAACUGUAACUUAAAGCAGGUACAGCCUCAGUGUUCACAGUAAAACUGUAACUUAAAGCAGGUACAGCCUCAGUGUUCACAGUAAAACUGUAACUUAAAGCAGGUACAGCCUCAGUGUUCACAGUAAAACUGUAACUUAAAGUGGGUACAGCCUCAGUGUUCACAGUAAAACUGUAACUUAAAGCAGGUACAGCCUCAGUGUUCACAGUAAAACUGUAACUUAAAGCAGGUACAGCCUCAGUGUUCACAGUAAAACUGUAACUUAAAGCAGGUACAGCCUCAGUGUUCACAGUAAAACUGUAACUUAAAGCAGGUACAGCCUCAGUGUUCACAGUAAAACUGUAACUUAAAGCAGGUACAGCCUCAGUGUUCACAGUAAAACUGUAACUUAAAGCAGGUAGAGCCUCAGUGUUCACAGUAAAACUGUAACUUAAAGCAGGUACAGCCUCAGUGUUCACAGUAAAACUGUAACUUAAAGCAGGUACAGCCUCAGUGUUCACAGUAAAACUGUAACUUAAAGCAGGUACAGCCUCAGUGUUCACAGUAAAACUGUAACUUAAAGCGGGUACAGCCUCAGUGUUCACAGUAAAACUGUAACUUAAAGUGGGUACAGCCUCAGUGUUCACAGUAAAACUGUAUCUUAAAGCAGGUAGAGCCUCAGUGUUCACAGUAAAACUGUAUCUUAAAGCAGGUAGAGCCUCAGUGUUCACAGUAAAACUGUAACUUAAAGCAGGUAGAGCCUCAGUGUUCACAGUAAAACUGUAACUUA